rnacentral:rRNA from 1 species
AUAUCAAUAAGCGGAGGAAAAGAAACUAACAAGGAUUCCCCUAGUAACGGCGAGUGAAGCGGGAUGAGCUCAAAUUUAAAAUCUGGCUGGUUUACUAGUCCGAAUUGUAGUUUAAAGAAGCGUUUUCGGUGGCAGCCUGGGUAUAAAUCCUUUGGAACAGGGUAUCAUAGAGGGUGAGAAUCCCGUCUUUGACUCAGUGCAUGCUACUAUGUGAUACGUUUUCAAAGAGUCGAGUUGUUUGGGAAUGCAGCUCAAAAUGGGUGGUAAAUUUCAUCUAAAGCUAAAUAUUGGCGAGAGACCGAUAGCGAACAAGUACCGUGAGGGAAAGAUGAAAAGAACUUUGAAAAGAGAGUUAAACAGUGCGUGAAAUUGUUGAAAGGGAAACGCUUGACACCAGUCAUGCGAGCGGAAAAUCAGUCUUUUGCGGUGGGGAGUUGUGUGGGUUCGGACCGCAAGGCCGGCCUGCGCUUCAUCUCUGCUGUAAGUGAUGCACUUUUUCGUUUGCAGGCCAACAUCAGUUUCUUCUGCUGGACAAAACUCUUGAGAAGGUAGCAGCUUAGGCUGUGUUAUAGCUCUUGAGCGAUACAGUGGAGGAGACUGAGGUUUUCGCAGCGCGUGCUUUCGGGCAAGGCUGAUUGGGUGCUAUGGGAUCGUUCGGUGUACAAUGCAUGCAUUUUGCGCCGUGUCUUUUCUAUACUCGCUCAACUCGGCUCUUCCGCGCUUAGGAUGUUGGCUUAAUGGUUUUAAUCGA